GGUAGUUGGACGUCCACUUCUUCCUCGCUGUCAUCCGACUCUGCACUAGUGAUAUCAUCCUCCUCUUCUUCGUCUUCAUCCUCUUCCUCACUCACCUCUUGCUCGGUGGCCUGGGGAUCCUGCAGAUUCUGAGAGAAGCAGCUCUCACCGUGCUGUGCCAGCCCUCUACAGGCUAGCCAGAUGACAUCCCUAAGCCACACACAGAAUCAUGGCAGCUGAAAAAGUAAAGAACCUCUUAAGGUUAAAGAAAGAAUACAAGGUAUGCAUGGUGAGGCAACGAUGCAGACAGAAGAGGAGGGCACAGAGCUGUUCCUUCAAAACAGUAGGUAGGCACUUUUCAUUUACAGAGGAACUAAAUG